GCAAAGAUUUCUACAAUCCAAUGGCCUGUUAGCAAUGUAGCCGAAUGUCCCAUAAAAAACCGAUAAGGUGAAUGUGCAACUCACUGCUUCACCUUUGUUUGCAUAAAAUGGAAAUGCUCUCCCGCAACAAAACAUGCUGGAGUAGAAAGACAAGGACUAUCAAACUGCUAAAUUAGUUCAUUUAAAUGAACUCGUGGAUGUUGCAGAAGAUUGAGGACAGAAACGAUUAGAUGUCUUGUUUAUGAAGCUCAUGGUUAUCUAUGCAGUUUUAAGUUCUCUCUCUGAAUUUGAUGUGCAUUUGUAUUGUGCCGGGGGGGCUGGAGGUCGGCCACAAAGUAAUUGCUGUGCCAGCUUUAGAGGAUUGUCACUGCAUAAAGGUACAGAAUAUGGUCUACAACUUAAAACUUUUUUGCUUGCAGACUUGUUUUAUAUUGUCCGCAUACGGGGAGAGCACAUUUCAGCUGUCUCCAAACACUGUGCCACGUAAGUACUAUUGAGAUUCUAAGGUGAAUUACAUUACUGUUUGUUAGACCAGGAUGAUUAAGAAGACACUUUGAUUCCCAUCAUUUUCUGGAAUGCUUAGUUUUAGUUGUAAUAUCGAAACCAAUUUGGAAGAAACUAUAGAGAAAAUAACUCUCUCACCAAUCCAUUUAAAUUAUAAAAGAGAUGCAAAAUUCUUUGAUUCUUGUACAAUCCCUCUUCACAUCUCUUUCCCCCCUGAUUCCUAUAGGAUAGUUGUCAUUGGAUUCUUGAUUUGUCAGUUAAGUCCAAGAUACAAAUUAGCUCUCCUGUUGUAACACCUACACCUAUUAGCGAGUUCAGGUUUUGCUGAAUGUAUCGUGACGUGAGAUAAGAAAGUUGUGUAAAGAAUUAUUUGCCGAAAUGCUAGAAGAAUAGUUGAAGAAGUGGUGACAUGAAAGCUGCGCUUGAUGCUCUCUUUCCACUGCACUAAGUGAUCUUUUCCUUUCUUUGGUGACUACUAUGGAAAAAGAUGAUGACGACUAUUUGCAAGUCUGAUCAUUUUUUUCAAAAUCGUUACAAUACAUCGAUUGUGUUUAUAUGUUUUCUGAUCGGUUGCUCAGGAAAUUUAUCAUUAUGGCAUUGCAACAUACCAUCUCCAAAAACCAAACUACGAUUACAACCAAUAUAUAGAGGGCAACAAAGAACGAAGUCCUUUCGAAUGAAAGUAGAGCUAAAGCAAAAGAGUGUAUUGAUCAGUCUAUAAUGCAAAAGGAAGUCCUUGGAGGGAGGGAGCCGAGGGUCUAUCGGAAACAGCAUCUUUACCCCAGGGUAGGGGUAAGGUUUGCGUACAUACUACUCUCCCCAUACCCCACCAGUGGGAUUAUACUGGGUUGUUGUAAGUUUAGACAUGAUCUUAAGAUCAUUAGGUACUAAAUUUUAUAGGAUUGGGUAGGAUGUAUAUGAUUUUUUCAUC